rnacentral:lncRNA from 1 species
GACAAUUAGUUUUUCAAAUUCCAAGAGAUGUAUACGUACAUUAUGAAAAUGAUCUUAAGUUUAUCAAUAUUAAGUAGCAUGUGUUCACAUUAGCAUAACAUCACUGCUUUUGUUUUCAGAACUGGACGAUCGGAGCAUACAGUCAUCAAGUUUGUAUAUUUUAUCUAGUCCCAAAUUCGAAAAAUUAGAUCGAUAUCAAAUAUUCACUAUUUUAGUUAUUAUUUCAUGUAUUUAUGACGUUUCACAUACUAGUAUUAACUAUAUAAUGCCCGUCAAUACCCGUUAUAAAAUUUAUUUACUGGAAUCUACCAUGCAUGAACAAGCUCAAAUAUCACAAUAAGAAGGUGUGAAAUGUAAAUAUCAACGACAAAACUAUCCAUAAGAGACUAACCGGAGUAGAUGUAAGAAAUGUUGUGUCAUUGUAUUGUCUUCGACUACUACAAAAGCCCCUUUAACAUAUAUCGAUAUGACAAAACUAGAAUUAGAAAAGAACCCAGGCAUAUAAACAACACGAAUAUAAUCGACAGCAUCUUACGACAAUCAAAUUCAAAAGUGCAAUUAUUUUGUCUUACAGAAGAUAAUGAAAGCAUUAACAUAAUUUAAAAAAAAAAUAUAUCAUAAGGAGUUUUAAAUAACAACCCGAGAUAAAUAGUUAAAAUGCACGUGCUCUAAUCUAUGAAAUACAGCCCUUGGAUGGUGUAAACUUCCCAAAACAACGUGUAUGGUGUAAUGGUGUAUGGCAUAUGGUGCAAUGGUGUAAGGUGUAUGGUGCUAUGGUGUAUGGUGUAAGGGGAAUGGUGUAAUGGUGUAUGAGGAAUGGUGUGAUUGUGUAACGUGCGAUCGGGAAUGGUGUGAAUGAUAAUGUACGACCUUUCAUUGGCUACAAACGAAGUUUUUUUUAUUUCAUUUUUUAGGAUUGUUAGCAUAAACAUAAUAAAAAUCUUAAUAUUUAAAAUUUAAUUGCAUUAUGGGUAAUUUCGGAUCGUGUAGAUAGAAUGGGGAAUGGUGUAUGGUGUAAAGUGUAAGGUGUACAUGGUGUAUGGUGCAAAGGUGUUACGUGUAUGGUGUAAUGGUACAAGGUGUAUGGUGUAAUGGGGUAUGGUGUAUGGUGUAAUGGUGUAUGGUGUUAGUGGGAAGUUUACACCAUCCAAGGACUGUAUAUUGGAUAAUUGUUGACACGGAGAAUAGUAUUAAAACAAGUCAUUUCAAUUUAACUUUACUAUAUACAUCAAGUAGUUGUUUUCGCUUUAAGUAAUGACGAUAAGAGGUUUUAAUAAAGCCGAUGCAACUGUGACUAAUCUCGAUAAUAUCACUCUUUCUUAUUACCUGCGAUUGUCAAUGAUUGUAUUACACAUAUUAAAUAAUUGCAUUCAUACUUAGUCAUGUCGUUAAAAAGGAAGAUAAUUGUUAUAUAAAAAUAAAUUCUUGGGUUUGUAUUGCUCUUUCGAUAGUUUUCAAAGCAGCGUUUAGUGUCUUUCCUUUAUCAGAUGUCUUCAAGGAAAUUGUGAAAUCAAAUUGUAAUACAUGCCAUAUAUUAUUUGUUCAAUGAUUAACAGGUGUUUAUACAAUAAGGAAUGAUAAUGCUGACGACAAAAACAUAGCUAGGGUUACCG